GAGGUUAAGCGACUAAGCGUACACGGUGGAUGCCCUGGCAGUCAGAGGCGAUGAAGGACGUGCUAAUCUGCGAUAAGCGCCGGUAAGGUGAUAUGAACCGUUAUAACCGGCGAUUUCCGAAUGGGGAAACCCAGUGUGACUCGUCACACUAUCAUUAACUGAAUCCAUAGGUUAAUGAGGCGAACCGGGGGAACUGAAACAUCUAAGUACCCCGAGGAAAAGAAAUCAACCGAGAUUCCCCCAGUAGCGGCGAGCGAACGGGGAGGAGCCCAGAGCCUGAAUCAGCAUGUGUGUUAGUGGAAGCGUCUGGAAAGGCGCGCGAUACAGGGUGACAGCCCCGUACACAAAAGCGCAUGUGCUGUGAGCUCGAUGAGUAGGGCGGGACACGUGGUAUCCUGUCUGAAUAUGGGGGGACCAUCCUCCAAGGCUAAAUACUCCUGACUGACCGAUAGUGAACCAGUACCGUGAGGGAAA
rnacentral:rRNA from 1 species